rnacentral:tRNA from 1 species
GGUCGUGUAGCUUAAAGAAAGCAAGAGGAUUUAUAAACCUUUUCACUAGAUAAGUGCUUGAUGUGGGGGCAGUACCCACCACGACUA